GAUGAACGCUGGCGGCGUGCCUAAUACAUGCAAGUCGAGCGAACAGACGAGGAGCUUGCUCCUCUGACGUUAGCGGCGGACGGGUGAGUAACACGUGGAUAACCUACCUAUAAGACUGGGAUAACUUCGGGAAACCGGAGCUAAUACCGGAUAAUAUAUUGAACCGCAUGGUUCAAUAGUGAAAGACGGUUUUGCUGUCACUUAUAGAUGGAUCCGCGCCGCAUUAGCUAGUUGGUAAGGUAACGGCUUACCAAGGCGACGAUGCGUAGCCGACCUGAGAGGGUGAUCGGCCACACUGGAACUGAGACACGGUCCAGACUCCUACGGGAGGCAGCAGUAGGGAAUCUUCCGCAAAGGGCGAAAGCCUGACGGAGCAACGCCGCGUGAGUGGUGAAGGUCUUCGGAUCGUAAAACUCUGUUAUUAGGGAAGAACAAACGUGUAAGUAACUAUGCACGUCUUGACGGUACCUAAUCAGAAAGCCACGGCUAACUACGUG
rnacentral:rRNA from 1 species